AUGGUGAAGAACUGGCAUUUUUUGUCAGCUAUUUUGUGGCUUCGGCUAAGCUGUGUAACUGCUGCCAAAAAUGAAGUGCAGCAGAGUCCUCAGGACCUGACUGUCCAGGAAGGAGAAUUUGUCACAAUCAACUGCAGCUACUCGAUAGGAAUAACCACCUUACAGUGGCUGCAACAGCAUCCAGGAGGAGGCAUUGUUUCCUUGUUUAAGCUGAGCUCAGAGAAUAAGAAGCAUGGAAGAUUAACUGCCACAAUAAACCUACAGGAAAAACACAGCUCGCUGCACAUCACAGCCUCCCAGCCCAGAGACUCUGCCAUCUACAUCUGCGCUUCCUGAUAUCUAGAAGGAGGCCAACAAGUGGUUUUUGGAAGAAUAAGUGAAUAUAAUAGUUAUUUCAGACUUCUGUUAAAAUGA